AAUCUCUGUGAUAGGGAAGAAGAGAGACCGGACCUAAAGGCCCGCCGACACGUGAGAAUCAGGGAAGGUGGCCACACGAGCAGUACUUUGGGUCCCUAACCUGCAACUCAGCACUCAGUCCAUCAUGGUCUAUGCUAGCCUCUGUGACUUCCCCAGGGCAGGAAAGUGACAGGUUUCUGUACAAGGGAGUCCAAGGUGCCUGGUUUAGAAUGGAGAGUUAGAGGGCAUCAGCAACGUUAAAGCCCCACAAGGGUCAAUGGCAGCCCAGGCAAAAUAGGAGCCUGAAGUGAAAAAACAAAAAUGGAACAAGGCAUUUGUUCUGGAGCACAUGACAUUGUCCUUCUGAGACAUUUCCACAAGUAUUCAAAGGAAGAUUUAAUGGGAAAUCAUUAUGCAAAAGAGUCAGUAAUAUAUUUUAGUUUGAAAAAGCACCGAGUGUGACGCCUGUCAAUUAUACCAUUUGCAAAGGUGAGUGAUGGUUGCCCUUACUGUUCCAAAAUGCAAAGAGAAACAAACAAACAAACAAACCAGCUACUCCUGUCCCGUACUCCAAACGCCAAGCAGAAAUGCUUCUGGGAAUUAGCAAUUGUGGACAAUUGGAGCUUCAUUCUUUAUGAAAAUUAAAAUGCUUCUUCUUUAUGUGCACUAGGAAAAUGUUCUGUCACUGAGCUGCAAAACCAGCACCAAACUUGAAAGUGUUGUGCAUCAAAGGAAAAAGACAGCCCAUAGAACGCGGGAGAAUAUUUGCCGGAAACGUGUCUGGUAAGGGAUACAGACUGUAUAAAAUGAAUAAGAGGGGCGAUAGGGAGUUCGUGUUUAAUGUUGAGAGCUUGGGACAGUUGAUGAAACGCUCCAGAGUGUUCUAGAGAUGAAUGAUGGUGAUGACCGCAUCAGUGUGAAUGUCCUUAAUGCCAUCAAAAAUUGGUUAUAAUGGCAAAUUUUAUGCUACAUAUGUUUUACUACAAUAAAAAUGCCAGGAAAAUCUAACUGCUCCAAAUCCUGAAUUUAUUAACCCAAUAAAUUAGGAGAUGGUUAUUGAACUAUAAAUGGAUUUGUCAAUUUUUAAAAUGAUUUCCUUUAAAUUGAAUUCUUUCCUAGAGCUUUAUUGUCUCUUCACAAACCAUUAAACACUUGUUAAAGUGUUCAGAGAGGGCUGAGAUGGAGGAGGAAGUGAAAACCAAACAAACAUAUGAGGGACCUUCCUCAAAUGACGUCUGCUAACAGGCUUCUUGGAUAUUCUAUUUAUAUAGAUUUUACAAGUGUUUUAUUUGAGAGGAAAAAAAAAUCCCUAGAUCUCACACAGCACAAUGAACUUCUUAUGCCUGUCAGCUAGGUUUAUUAAUUUUUAACAAAGUGUAUUACUUUUAAAAGCUAUCUAUUUACUAUUGGGGGAGGGAGAAGGACAAAGGACAUCUUGCAGAAGUCUGGUCUCUUCUGCUCUGUGGGUUCUGGAGAUAGGAAAUCAGGUGGGUUGUCAGGCCUAGAAGCAAAGGCCUGUCUGCACUGAGCCAUCUUACCUGUCUUACUUUGUUACUUUUGAUGACCUAUUUUAGACAUCACUAUUCUAUAGCCCUAAGGAUAACUUCAAGUGUGUAUCUUCAACAGUUACUUUAUGACCAUGAAAUAGAUUCGAGAAAUUUAACACGUAUGCAGUUCUAUCCAACGUAUAUACAGAUUUCUCAUCUCCCCCUUUACUGCAGUUUAUAGAAAAAGCAAUUCUCUUCCAUAUCUAGAGUUUGACAAGGAAUAUGCAUUGCAUUUGGUUUCUGUGUUCUUUAAUCUCUUGUACAGAACUUCAACUUUUCAUGGCAGGUUGAACAAUUGUGGAUCAUACAGGCUGUCAUGGUUUGAAUAUGCUUGGCCCAGGAAGUGGCACUAUUAGGAGGUGUGGCCUUGUUGGAAUAGGUGUGUCACUGUGGGCAUGGGCUUUAAGACCCUCAUCCUAGCUGCCUGGGGUUUAAGACCCUCAUCCUAGCUUCCUGGAAGUCAGUCUUCUACUAGCAACCUUCAGAUGAAGAUGUAGAACUCUCCGCAUGUCCUGCACUAUGCCUGCCUGCAUGCUGCCAUGUUCCUGCCUUGAUGAUUAUGGACUGAACCUCUGAACCUGUAAGCCAGCCCCAAUUAAAUUUGUCCUUAUAAG
ensembl:lincRNA pluripotency associated transcript 4